CUGGUCACCUUCAUUGUAGGAGCAAUAAUAGUUGAGGUUGGUUUUGUGGGUCUUGAUUUGGAAAAGACCUUGAACACUGAGGCUGGCUGAGCUGUGCCUGUUCCUAGUCCAAGCCUGUUGCUGGAUGAGGCUGUGACAAAGUUGUAUUCAAGGGAUAGGUUGAGGGCUUUGGCAGCCAACAGACGGCGAGUUGUGGUGUCCCUGGCUUGGAAGCGUGCCUUCAGCAGCUCACCAAUAGUGACAUAGGCCCACAGGCGGCGGAUAAAGUGGGUCACAUUGAGGGCAGGUUUCCCGGGGCAACCAAAGGCUUUCUGGCUACUGUUGCUGGCUUUUUCACUAUGGUGGGCCACAAGGAGAUGACCAUUUGGACCACGGGCUGCCAAGUGGAUGCCCAGUUCCUGCUCACCUGGCUGCACGUUGCCAGCCACCACCAGCUCUGAGCCAUGAA
ensembl:lincRNA Gm27191 predicted gene 27191